CCAAGACUGACCAUAGACAUGAAUACAAAUAAUACAAUUAUUUCAUUUUACCUUAUUACUACUAAGAUUAUUACAGCAUUUCAUUAAUUGUAAUAGAAUU